rnacentral:rRNA from 1 species
UGGGGAAUUUUGGACAAUGGGGGAAACCCUGAUCCAGCCAUCCCGCGUGUGCGAUGAAGGCCUUCGGGUUGUAAAGCACUUUUGGCAGGAAAGAAACGUCGCGGGUUAAUACCCCGCGAAACUGACGGUACCUGCAGAAUAAGCACCGGCUAACUACGUGCCAGCAGCCGCGGUAAUACGUAGGGUGCAAGCGUUAAUCGGAAUUACUGGGCGUAAAGCGUGCGCAGGCGGUUCGGAAAGAAAGAUGUGAAAUCCCAGAGCUUAACUUUGGAACUGCAUUUUUAACUACCGGGCUAGAGUGUGUCAGAGGGAGGUGGAAUUCCGCGUGUAGCAGUGAAAUGCGUAGAUAUGCGGAGGAACACCGAUGGCGAAGGCAGCCUCCUGGGAUAACACUGACGCUCAUGCACGAAAGCGUGGGGAGCAAACAGGAUUAGAUACCCUGGUAGUCCACGCCCUAAACGAUGUCAACUAGCUGUUGGGGGCCUUCGGGCCUUGGUAGCGCAGCUAACGCGUGAAGUUGACCGCCUGGGGAGUACGGUCGCAAGAUUAAAACUUAAAUGAAUUGACGGGGGUCAUAGCUG